CUAUAAUAGAGUGAAAUAUAGAGUAAUCUUAUUUUUUUACUCCAAAUAUAGAGUGAAAAAACAAAAAUACUUUAUAUUUCACUCUAUUAUAGAGUAACUCUAUUAUAUAGUGAACCAUUGGAGCAAAUCCAACUACUCUAUUUUAGAGUGAAAUAUAGAAAAAAUUAUAGUGUAGCAUUGAAGAUGGUCUAAAGGGAGCAACCAAGAUGAAAGUAACUCACGAGAAUGUUUCCAAAAGGAAUGGUAAAAAGGGUAGAUCGGUAUGGAAAGCUUCAUCUUCAAUAUCCCAAAACCGAUUUGUGACUUUAAUUCUCAAACCUUUCGACUUCCAAAAACUCUAGACUGGUCAGUUUCAUUAAAAAAAAGCCAUUUAUUUUUUUAACGGUCUAAAUUUUUGUUAGUUUGAAUCUUUGUUGUAGUAUCUUUCAACGAGUAAUAGGUAACAAAUAUUUUUAGCGGGUGAUACAUAUUAUUACAACAAGUUAUAAGAAACAAGUACAUGAGCAAGUCAGCCAAAUAGUAGAAAAAUAUUAAUAUUUGAUACUUGAUCCGUAUUUGAUAACGCCAAGCACUUGAUUUUUCAAACCAAGUACUAACGAGUAUAAAUCGGGUAGCAAGUUAGAAAUGGUUAAAUCGAAUAAAAUCCGAUAGAUAACAAAAAAAAAAAGAGAAGUAAAAACAUAUUAAUAAUUUAAUGUGAAUGUUAGAAAGAAUUUAUCUUGCGCAUGGAUGUUAACUAAUCACAGCCUUCAAAAAUAUAACAAAAAAUAGAAAUAAAGAAAGAAAGCAAUGUAAAGUGUGUAGGUACCAAGGUGUGAAUGUAUUCCAUCGUUUAAUAGAGAAAGCAAUGAAAAUAGUGUAGCAUGUACUAGACAAAACAGUAUACAUUUAGCUUUCAUUUAUUUACUCAGCCUAAAUUGGUUUCAUUUAACAUCUAUUAAUAUAUAGUAUCAUAUAUCUUAUAGUAUACUAUUAUGUAUUUAUACUAUAUAAAAAAAGUAUAGCACUAGACAGUAUAACACUAUUGUGUUUAUAGUUCGAGGGUAAAAACACGAAAAAGAGUGCUUCUGGUUAUUGACUUCAUUUUCCAGUCAGUAGUGUCAUAUUUUUAAGGCUUAUUGAGAAUUCACCCUUGAAUAAGCUCUACAAUAAAUGAAGAUCCAUUGCUUGAUUUUAAAGUCUUUAACCAACCAAACAAAAAAAGGAAGAAGAAGCUCAUCUGCAAUAAAUAAGCCAAUGAAACGUCAUAUGCAAGUUGGUUUAUUAUUACAUUUAUUUUCUCCAGGAGUUUACUAACGAUUCUGAGAAUGGCCAAGAAACAUUUCUUUCAGCCCCUUCUUCCUGGCUUCCACAGUCACUUGGUACUCUGUCUCUCUCUCUCCCUCUCCCUUCUUCUAUAUCUGUCUUGUCUCUUUUUAAGAAACGAACUGAGAGAUGGUUUUGUAUUUUGCAUGUUGCUUCAGACAAUUCCUGUAGCCUUCUUCUCCAAACAUAUACAAGGAAGAAAUGAUCAGAAGACUACGGCGAAGCUUACGUCAGACGCAGCGUCGGAGAAAACAUGGGAAGUGAAGACAGAAGAUGGCCGAAGACUCACUGAUGGUUGGAAAGAGUUCGCUCUUGCGCACGAUCUUCGAGUGGGUGACAUUCUCAUUUUCAGACAAGAGAAAGAUAUGACUUUCCACGUGACACUAUUUGGACCAAGUUGCUGUGAGAUUCAAUAUGACUCGUGUUUAGACGACAAGAACAACAUAGGGAAGAUUAACUCUAAGAAGAAUAAUCCAAAAAGAGAAGCAGAGUGUUCUUCUUCUUCAGAUCCCUCUUGUUUCUUGGCCAAUGUCAUGCCUUCGACCCUACGCUAUGACUCACUGAAUCUUCCAAUGAGUUUUGUGAGGGCAAAUGGUCUAGAGACAAGAUGUGGAGAUAUUGUUCUGAUGAAUGAAAAAGGCAGAUCAUGGACUUUAUCUUUAAAACAAAGACUGUGUGGAAGAAGUUACAUCGCACGAGGGUGGAGAAGUUUCUUUAGUGCCAAUGGACUCAAGGCUGGAGAUUUUUUCACUUUCAAACUCAUCAAAAGAGGUGGAACACUAGUUCUUCUACAUAAGUCUCCCUCCCACAGAGAACCCAAAGAAAAUGAGGGCUCAGAAGCUGAUGAUGAAAUAGAGUCUCUUUCCACAGAAUCUGACAGCGAUGAAGAGAGCAACCAAGAUGAGAAAAGCCUCAUCAAGAGGCGUAUAUCAAUAUGGAAAGCUUCAUCUUCACCAUCCCAAAACAGCUCUGUGACAUUAACUCUUAAACCUUACAAUGUCAUAAAGUGUGUACUGACAGGUGAAUCAGUCAAGUUGAAGCUGAUUUGGGAAGAAGACACGAGUUGUGUCCUUAAGUUCUGCUCCAAGGUGAAGCCAUAAAUUGAAAAACUGUUUCAGCUUGAUUUAGUGCCAAAAGACAAACUGAAACAAAUCAAUGUUGCUCUUCUUCUCUUUUAGGAUUACUAUUAUUUCAUCGGAUCUCGACUUGUCACAAUAACACUAAUAAAACCACCAAUGCCAGGAAAGAUUAAAAUUACAUCAUAUGAGAGGUAAUAUAAAUUAAUAUAUAUAUAUAAACAUCUUUAAAGAGAUGAUUAUUAUUUUCAGCCAAAGUUUUUUUCAAAAAUACUAAAAUGAUGAUUUUUGUUUUAAUGAAAUUUAAUGUACUUUUUA